GAUGAACGCUAGCUACAGGCUUAACACAUGCAAGUCGAGGGGCAGCACAAGGCAGCAAUGCUGGGGUGGCGACCGGCGCACGGGUGCGUAACGCGUAUCCAACCUUCCCGUUACUCUUGGAUAGCCUUCCGAAAGGGAGAUUCAUACAUGAUGGUGUUGAAAUUCCGCAUGUUAUUUCAACUAAAGAUUUAUCGGUAACGGAUGGGGAUGCGUGACAUUAGAUAGAUGGCGGGGUAACGGCCCACCAUGUCUACGAUGUCUAGGGGUUCUGAGAGGAAGGUCCCCCACACUGGAACUGAGACACGGUCCAGACUCCUACGGGAGGCAGCAGUGAGGAAUAUUGGUCAAUGGCCGGAAGGCUGAACCAGCCAAGUAGCGUGAAGGAUGAAGGUUCUAUGGAUUGUAAACUUCUUUUAUACGGGAAUAAAACCUCCCACGUGUGGGAGCUUGUAUGUACCGUAUGAAUAAGCAUCGGCUAACUCCGUGCCAGCAGCCGCCGCCGUAA
rnacentral:rRNA from 1 species